AUACGGAGGGUCCAAGCGUUAUCCGGAAUCAUUGGGUUUAAAGGGUGCGCAGGCGGUUUAAUAAGUCAGUGGUGAAAUCUCGGAGCUCAACUCCGAAACUGCCAUUGAUACUGUUAAACUUGAGUUCAGUUGGAGUAGGCGGAAUGUGUAGUGUAGCGGUGAAAUGCUUAGAUAUUACACAGAACACCGAUAGCGAAGGCAGCUUACUAAACUGAUACUGACGCUGAGGCACGAAAGCGUGGGGAGCGAACAGGAUUAGAAACCCUAGUAGUCC
rnacentral:rRNA from 1 species